CUGGCUCAGAGACGGGAGACAGGCCUGGCCCAGUGAAGGCAGCCCAGCCAGCCUUGCACUUUCUGUCCCCUGCAGCCCGGGGGGGCAGCAGCGCAGUCCUACAGGAUUCCGCUCUGAUCUCAGCGUUUGGGCUCUUGGAUGGAUUGCGUGCUCUCCUGAAGAGUCCAGCUUGGCCCUUUGCAGAGAACGUCCUGGCGCCUGUGACCAUUCUGGAAGGAGCCAGCUUUGCGUUUAAUGCGAAGAGCCAGGGAGCAGCGGCAGUUGUGAGCUGGGCGUCAGAAAUCCGACGAGCCUGGUGGUUGAGGCUGGAUCCUUUCACUGUGCAGCUUGGUGACCCUGGGAAACUGGCCUGCCCUCCCUGGGCUUCCUCCACUUGCUUACAUGUAAAACGGGACGAUAGGAGCUGGGGCAUGCUGGGUUCUUCCUGAGAGCCAGGCCUGAAUUUAAUCGCUUGGCUGGAAUGAAGUGAUUUAGUUCUGACAGCAGCCCCAGGGAGUAGGGGACUAUUAUUGCCAUACCCCUUUCACGGAAGGAGAAAUGGAGGCUUAGGGUAGUUAAGGUUACUAACUUCCACGACGAGGUUACUAAGGUGACACGAUGACUAAGUGCUGGGAUCUGAGUCAGGGCAGCUUCUAACCCUGCCCUGUGUCCCCUGCCUCACAGAGGGGAUGAAGUUCAAGGUCUCCAAGGAGUGCCUGAGGCCCAGAAAGUGCUCAAAACAGCCUAUGAAAGGACCAAACCACAAAAAUAAAAAUCGCCUGGGAAAACCUCACCCAUUUCGCGGCCCGUGGGCGUUGUACAGCAGCCUGACCGGGAAGAGGUUCCUCUUUGCCUCUCUCUGGGCUGACUCAAAAGGCAGAGAUUCGGGCUAGGUUUUGGUCUUUCCAUUUUUUUUUUUUUUUUUUAAACAGCCAAGAA